rnacentral:lncRNA from 1 species
UAUUGGAACUUGAUUGAGAUUGCCACCAAGCAAGCUUGUCCAUUUUUACUUUGUAACAAUGGUCAGACUCCUGCGUAAGGAACAAUAAAGAAAAGGCCCUUCAACUGAUAUGUAGUUGCAUACUAUAAUAUCUUGAAGAGGUGAUAGCAAAUUAGCAAAACUUCAGGACACUCAUAAUAGGAGAUUGAUCUCACCUUCCCUACCCUCCACUAAAACGCCUUUAAAAUUUUUACAAAAAUAAUGCUUGUGGACAUCCACCUAUGCUUGACAUGAUAUAUAAACCUUAGUAAACCCUACUUGUGAAAUUUGAAUGAAGGGUCACACUCAUAUGCUUUGAUUGACUAGUGUUUGGGCCUGAUGGGAAGUUUACACCCAUCUCCUUGUAUUGGCACCAACCUCCAGCAAUUUAUUUUUAUUUCUAUUUUUAUUUUCUACCAAAGCUAUCUGACCAACCAUUCAACUUCAUUACUAAAUAUUGGUCACUCUCAAUUGAGGAAAAAUGUAUAGUGCUUCUACUACACCAACAGUAUAUUAAUGAAACCAAAUAGCUAAAUAAACUUAAAAUAUGUGGCAUGAGACAAAGCAUUGAUUUGCAAGACUGAGCACUGGACAAAGUUGGCUUGUGACACCAAAGCGGGGUUUGCAUAUUUUUGUGUUUAACAUGACAAGAUUAUAAUUUACUGCAUUUAGUUUUCCAUGUCAUUUUAUUUGACUAUUUCCAUAAUAGCUCAUUACUGUCACUGGCUGACACUUUUUAUGAGCUGUGCUUGAGCUUUUUAUGUUCGUCCAAACAUGCUGACAAGCAGGGCCAGGUGCAACCAUUGGGGGUAUGUGUGCUACACGUUGCUCUGGUUCUUUAGCCGUGAGGUAAUGCCUUUGCUUCAUUAGCUGUAACUUACAUGGGAAUCUGAUUUUCUGUUUACUGUUGACAUUAUUACCAGUGACUCAGUGAGUUUGCUGCCAAAAAAAUGAAAAAAAAGAAAGAAAAAAGAAGGUAAAAUAGUGGCCCAAUUUUAAACUUGCCUAAGUGUGUACUAGAUUUAUACUAGAUUUAUUAUUAUUAUUUUUGGUUACUUGUCCUAAUCCUAAUAAUUGAAUUUUUGACUUAGUACUCUUAACCAACAUUGCAAGUUCCAUAACAGUGGAAUCAAUGCUUCAAGCUCAUUUAUCUACCCACAUUGGAAUAGGGAAAUCUUUAUAUUAUAAUAGAUCUUUCAUCUCAUUUUGUUCUUGGUAUUCUUUUCCCUGCUAGCCUUGAGACUGGACUUGCAAUCAAUGUUAACAUCACUUGGUUCCUCAUGAUGCAUGUUAGGAAUGUUCAAGGCUUCAAUUGACAUGAAUAACCAAAGGGUUAAAUGCUUCAAUUUAUCUUUCCCUAGUGAGAAGGUUUGGAUUGUCACCAUCCAAGAGACUAAGACAUAAAGCUUUGGCAAGUUUAAAAUUUGUAUUGUUGAUGCGCUUGGUGACCUAUCAAUGUGGUCAUGGUUUGAAGUUUCAUUUCAAUGAGUUUUGGUGAGCUUAGUGUUUUCCUUAAAACUAUUUAAGUUUCGAAAUUGCCUCAAGAUUCAUUUUGUUUCUUCAAAACCUAAAAUAUUUUGUCAUUUCAAAGGUAAUAUUUUAAAUUUAAUGCAAUGGUUUGGCUUUUAAGCCUGAAUUUUGGUAGUUAUAGCAUGGAAUCAUUCUUAUAAUGAGCACCCGACCUUGGUUCUUCGUGGUUCAAUGCCUUGGAGUGUGGAUUAUAAUUAUUUCUCGCUUAUUCUUGUAUGUCUAUUUUGACAUUUAAUGAAGUUCUUAAAAAGGCCUAACCUUGGCUCUUCAUGGUUCCAUGUCUUGGGAUGUGUUGAUUGUAAUUAUUUCUCACUUAUUCUUGUAUGUAUAUUUUGACAUUUAGCAAGGUUCUUAAAAAGGCCUAUAUAGAUUCUAUUCGAGCAUCGCAUUGGUCUUUGAGUCCUUUUUUUUUUAAUUAAAAAAAAAUGCUAUUCAUUAAAGGAAAAAUACUUGAAAGUAAUUAAGUGAGAAGCUAGCAACAUGACAAGGGUUAUUUUGUGUCAAGUUGAUACCUAUCGCAAUUAAUUUGAGGGAAUGUUGAAAUUUGAAGUCAAAGGGGGUAUUUCAAGGGUCUCUAAAGCCAGUAUAAGAUAAUUUAUUAGAUACUUAGUUUUGUGUAUGGCACACCAUAUGAUUGGUCUUUUUGUGUUAUUUCUGGUCAUUAUUCUUCUUUCCCUUUUCUUGUGAACCUAAUUAUGAUUGACUAUGAAAAAGAGACAUAUUUUUUAUAUCAUAAAUUCAAUAUAUUUUUUCUGUCAAAUUAAAAGAUCAAGAAGGAUGAGACAUCCUUCCACAAUAUACAACUCUAAUCAAAUGAGAAGGAACACAUUACAAGUUGAAUAACCAAAUAAGGUUACAAAAUUCUAAGAGCAAAACAUGAUCCUCUUUUCUUCUUAGCCACCCAUGAAAUGACAACAACAAAAUCUCCACCACAAGAUUGGACCAAUCCAAAGCUUUAGCUUGGGCAUGGUCCCUAUUGCAAAGGUAAAAUCUUAGCCUCAACGGUGAAACUCUCACGUACAAGGUUAGAGUAAGCUUUUAUUAUUGUACACGGAUAAUCUAUAAUCACUCCACCAAUUCUAAGUUGCCACGACUAAUCCUCUAGUCAGAGAUGACCAAGAGGCUGCCUCUUUUUUUUAUUUUAUUUUAUUUUUAUUUAAAUUCUAAAUAGAAUUAAAUAAUUUUUUUAUUUAGAUGCUUGCCACUUGAAUCAUUUGGAAGAACUAUUAUCUCCUUCAUAUGAAUGGAACCUUAAGUAAUUGAAGAUGUAGAAUGGUUGGACUUGGUUGUAAAAAUAAAUUUCUUGAAUCUAUGUCUCAUGGGCUAAAUUGUUUUUGAGUAAUGUCAAUUUUUCCUUUUCAAAAUUAACUCAAUUUUAGAGUUGGCUAAGGUGAAUUGGCCUCAUUAGCUUUUCUUUCAUUUGUUUUCUUUUGUUUUUACCUUGGUGCACCUGUUAUAUAUCCUAUGUAUUGGGUUUGUGUGCCAUGGUUGGUGCUAUUGUAUUAUAACUAUUUAAAAUUUUCUUAUAAUAAACUUGCAUCUUGCCUAAUAUUAAUUCUCUCUUGUAUGAAAAGAUUCUAAAUUGAGGGAGGGAGUGACAACUAUUUUUAAGAAUCUUUUAUUAGAAUUGGGGGAGCAAAGACCUAGUAUCAAUUAUAUGUGUUUCAAUUCUAUUCAAAUGGAGGAGGGGGAAAGGGUUUUGGGGAGAGUAUUUUCAGAGAAGGAGGUCUUUGAGGCUUUAACAAGGUUAUGUGGGGAUAAGGCCCUUGGCCCAAAUGGCUUCUCCAUGGGUUUGUGGCUGCUUAUCUGGGACUUUGUGAAGAACUAAGCAAAGGGUUUUUUCAGGGAGUUCCAUGAGCUUAGCGUUUUUCAGGGACUUUGUGACCAACAAUGCAUUCUUGGUCUUCACUCCUAAGAAAGGAGCAGAUGAUUUAAAAGACUUUAAACUCAUUAGCUUGGUAGGUGUUGUGGAUGAACUCCUAGCAAAAGUUUUGGCUAAUAGGAUCAAAAAGGUUAUGGGGACAAUGGAAUCCAAUGUUUAGAAUGUCUUCAUGGAGGGAAGACCAAUUUUGGAUGUGAUGAUCAUUUCAAAUGAAGCAUUAUAUUCAGGAUUGAAGAGAUUUAAGGAAGGUGUACUCUGCAAGCUAGAUUAAAGAAGGCAUAUGGUCAUGUCAAUUGGGAAUUCUUCUUACAAGUUCUUAACAAGAUGGGUUUUGGGUAAAAAUGGAUUGGUUGGAUUCAAUGAUGCAUCUCAAUAGCUAGAUUUUUUGUGUUGGUGAAUUAAAACUGGAUUGCUUUUUUUCAAAGUUCAAGGGGUUGAGGUAAGGAGAUCCUCUUUCUCCCAACUUAUUAUUUUAGUGAUGGAGGCACUUAGUAAUUUUCUAAAGAGGGUUAGGGAGGGGAAACUUCCUUAUCAAGUUUAAAGGUAUGAGGGAGGGGUAGUGAUGGGUUAGAGGUGACACACAUUUUGUUUGUGGAUGAUGCCCUCAUUUUUUAUGAUGCUUGUAAAGAGCAAAUGAUGUAUUUAAGUUGGAUCCUCAUGUGGUUUAAGACGAUCUCAAGGCAAAAAAUUAAUCUAGGGAAAAGUGAGUUCUAGGAGGUGGGUCCCUAAUGGGGAGGAUUUGACUUCUUUAUUAGGAUGCAAAAUGGGGAAGCUACCCACUUAUUUGGGUCCUCCGUUGGGUGCUUCUUUUAAGUCGUGAGCCAUUUGGGAGGUAGUGGAAGAAAAUUCAUUUGAAUGUUUGUUAUUUGGAAGAGACUAUUUUUCAAAGGGUGGAAGUUUAAUGUUGAUUAAAAGUACUCUUCCUAAUUUUCUAAUAUAUUUUAUGUCCAUGUUUUUCAUUCAAAGAAAGAUGUGCUUGAGCCUUAAGAAGAUUCCAAAAUGUUUUCUUUGGGAUGGGGAACCAUGAGAGAAAACUUUAUUUGGUGAAGCCCUUAAAAACUCUUUUUUGUGCUCUCUAUGGCAGAUUUCAAUGUAUCGACCGAGUUCGGUGUGACUCGGCCGAGUCGUAUCUGCCUUGAUGGUUGUUGCGACAAGUCCAAUACUAGAUACAAUAUAAUGCAUGAACUCGACACUGAACUGGUGAGACUCGGUUUAGUUGGCUGGAUUUUCGACUUAACUUGGUCGACUCGGUUAGGUUACACAAAAUUUUCUUAUGUAAUAUGGAGAUUCUCUUUUCUUUUGAAUCACAACAAAAAAUCAGAAAUCAAAGAUUCCCCCAAAGCAAACACCUAUGAUUCUGAAAUUGAAUAUUUCAACCCAUCAAUGAGAAGAUCAAAGAAGAAGAAAAAACAAAUUUAAUCUAACCUGUGACCCUUUCUAAAGACUAGGAGAGAAUCCACCAAAGGAUGAGGACACAAACAAUUUAGGAUUUACUUACCUGAUUUUUUGAAAAUCAACCAUUGCUAGAGUGUAGGAGCUUUGGUGCGAUGUUGGCGGUACCACAGUGGUGCUUGUCAAGUGGAUUGAAACCUUCAGUCCUUCACCAGUGAGGUAACCCUCACUCACAAUCAGAUUCAUCUUCGCCUCUCCCUCUAGUUGUGGGGUGCGGAGUUAGAAUUUUGUAGUUGUGGGUAUUGUGGACUGUGGGUGGGAGGAGAAAUUGGUAAAGUAAAAAAUUAAUGUCAAAUGCCUAUAUAUUUAUAUUUUAUGGUUAUGUGGGUGGUUGGUAUGAUUUUUUGAGAUAUGAUUACAUGGUUAUAUUAUUUGUGGAAUAAAUUAUAAAAUGCAUUUAUUGGUAAUGGGAAUCGAGUACCUAAUUUCGUAAAGAAAAAUGCAUUUAUAUGGAUGAGAAUUAAUGUUAAUAUUAUGGAUUGUAUUAAAUAUAUUUAUAUGGUAUGUUUUUAUAUUAUAUAGAAAAUACAUUUUUAAUUCAUUAAAAUAUGUAAUUUUUUAUUUUAUAAUAUUGAAUGACCCUUCGAACCGAUACAUGACUUUGAACCAUGCUCUCAAGCUUUGGCCUCUUUUGAUGGUGCCUUAAUGUCAUUUUAGAUUAUAUUGAUUGGUUGGACUCUUUUUGAUGUAAGAGAGUUGUUUUUUGUUAAGCUCUCCAUCUCAUUACUUUUGGCACCUUUAUAGAUUCCCUAGGUGCUUUGGUGCGCUUUCAUUGGUGAGCUUUUUUUGCCUACUUAUCAAAAAAAAUAUUCUUUUUUUGCCUAUAAAAAGGAAGUGUAAUUUCUUUCCUCUCUAUGGGUGGUCAUGCUUUGGUAAUUGGUGGCAAAUCCUUGUGCAGUUGUGGACUAUGAUAGGUAGUCCAUGAUGCCAUUAGACAUUAUAAACACCAUUUUUCUUGAUGGAACUCCUAAAUAGUGUAGGAGUAGAAACUAUAGCACCUGUCAUAUCAUAAAGUGGAAUUUGAUAUGAGAAAAAAGGAUCAUCUAUCCUUAUAAAGCUUCUUGCAUAUAAAUUGGUUAAGCAUGGCCACUAGUGCUUACUCUUGUAUUGGUGUCCACUACUUAACUCUUCAUUUUAUUGCUUCAUUUUAUGUGAAAGUUUUGAGCUAAAUGAGAUAUAUCCUUGACAUUGGUCCUUUAUUAGGUUUGGCACUGAUCACAUCCUUCUUAGUGACUAAACUCUUGUGGCUAUUUUUUCCCCAUUUU